rnacentral:rRNA from 1 species
CCUACGGGUGGCAGCAGUGAGGAAUAUUGGUCAAUGGACGCAACUCUGAACCAGCCAUGCCGCGUGCAGGAAGACGGCUCUAUGAGUUGUAACCUGCUUUUGUACGAGGGUAAACGCAGAUUCGCGUUACUGUCUGCAAGUAUCGUACGAAUAAGGAUCGGCUAACUCCGUGCCAGCAGCCGCGGUAAUACGGAGGAUUCAAGCGUUAUCCGGAUUUAUUGGGUUUAAAGGGUGCGUAGGCGGUGGGAUAAGUUAGAGGUGAAAUCCCGAGGCUCAACUUCGGAACUGCCUCUGAUACUGUUCGGCUAGAGAGUAGGUGCGGUAGGCGGAAUGUAUGGUGUAGCGGUGAAAUGCGUAGAGAUCAGACAGAACACCGAUUGCGAAGGCAGCUUAC